rnacentral:rRNA from 1 species
UACGUAGGGCGCAAGCGUUGUCCGGAAUUAUUGGGCGUAAAGAGCUCGUAGGUGGCUGGUCGCGUCUGCCGUGAAAGCCCGUGGCUUAACUCCGGAUCUGCGGUGGGUACGGGCAGACUAGAGUGAUGUAGGGGAGACUGGAAUUCCUGGUGUAGCGGUGAAAUGCGCAGAUAUUGGGAAGAACACCGGUGGCGAAGGCGGCUCACUGGCUCAUUACUGACGCUCAGGCGCGACAGCGUGGGGAUCAAACAGG